UCUUUCUCUGCUCUGCAAUUUUCUUUCUUUCUCUCUCAAGUUCUCAUCUUCUCCUUCUUCUUGCGAUCUCUCCUCUCUAUGUCUUUGAAGAUCUUUUCUGCUGUUAAAUCCUAUCUUAAGGAAAAUUGCAAUGGUGAAAUGUUGAAGUUUGGAUCAUGUUAAUGGAUUUUUUGGUGUGCAGAUCUUCAUGGAUUACUUCAUAUUUGUUUUUCCUUUUCCUUUUGUUAUGAUGGAUCAUAUUCACGGAUGUUGAUGUUGAAGUUUGGAUUAAAUUCAAGAAUAUUAGCUUUUGUUGGAAUGAUUUUGAUUUUUUGGGCAUG